AAUCCGUGCUGUGGGCAUCUCCGCAGAAGAUCCUUGAAGCGCUCCCAUGUCUCAAACAAUGACUCCAACUCUAUCUAUACAAAUGAUGAAAUCUCAUUGCGAAGCUU